ensembl:snoRNA SNORD36 Small nucleolar RNA SNORD36
UUGAAGAUGAUGUUAAUGUUCCUUCAUCUGAAGAAAUCCUAUGAAGAGAAAAUCACAUUAUCUCUGAUUCAAU